GUUUAUUAUACAUAUCUGGCUAUGUCGAAUUAAUAUUCCAUGUAUUUUGAAUAUAAUGUAAUCCGUAUAUAUCUGCCACUUUACACCGCAAUACCAUUUUCAGAUGCAUGGGGAAAUAAUGCCAUUCUCUGAUAAGCAAGGAAUUUAAACUUUGAGAUGCUCUCAUAGCUUUUAGUGGGGAUUUUCUUUUAACACUAAUAGUGUAUAUUUCCAAUGCGUUUGUUAAAUUUAACAAGCUGCACAUUUUUUUCUUGAUGAGGAAAUUGACCUAAAUGUUGAUAUAAUUCGUUUACAUAAGCAGCUGUAUGUUUAUUUUCAUUGCAGUGUAAUUGUUUUUAAACACCAUGGUGCACAACGUUGCAAAUCCUCGUUUACGUCGGUUUUCUUUACACCUAUGCAAAAACAACAACAAAAAAAGCAUCAUUUAAACCCGAUUUGGAGCGCCGAGACUUCCCAGUGUUCUUUCUUUUGAGCCUCAUGCACUGCUGUUGGGAUGCAAUGGGAUUGUCAAGCUCCUGACCACAUCUGGUGCAAUUGGAUUUUUCCCUUUUCUUUCCUCUUGCUUUUGUUCUCACAGCUGUGUACAUUUCGCAUGACACCCUGACUGAUCCCUGACAGGUGACGAAUCAGCACCAAGCAAGCAGCAGCGCUGAACAGCACCGUGAGCUCAAGCUCUUGCCGACUCUUUGGCGCCAGCCUCGUGACGUCACCCAUUCAAAGCAGCACUGCAGCCAGUCCUCUCGGCGCCGGUCAGGCGGCUGCUAUGGUGACGGGGUCUGUCAGUCAGCGCGCGCUCCCAGCUGAUCAAUGGGUCUGAGCGCUGAGAAAUUGGAGUUUAAUUUGUCACCUCGGCUCUUCUCCGCUCCGGGCACUCACACCUGCAUCGAUUUGCAUUUCUUAAGUUACACUUUAUUUGGAAAAGGGUCAUUCCUCAGCAUAGUUUUGUAACAGGAGAUACUUACACAUAAUGAAAUUCAGCUGCUCUGAGGCUCGACCAAAAUGAAGCGCUGCUGUGCAGAAACCGAGGAAGGAUGGGGCACUGUAUAGGCCAACUUCCAGACACCAUUAUUCAACACAUCCAGAGGCUAUACCUUUCAUGGUUAUUUUGUUUAGGUGGGUGCAUGUGAUGAAUGCUGCCUAACAUCUGCACCUGGAAGAUCCAUAUAUUGUGACGUGUCUCACCCAACCAGAGGGAACGAAGCUCUCAAAUUCCAGUGUUGAACUCCAGAUCUACAGAGUAUGCAGUGUCCUUUUAAUACAGUUUUGUCCAACCCAUAACCUGUGUCCAAAAACGCCUGUUUCAAUAAUGUCUUUGUCACUUCUGUAUAGCACUGCUAUGACCACUGGAGAUGACCAACCACAAUGUAAAAAAUAAAAAGAAACAUGAAAACAGCUUUGUGAUGGCCUUAAAAACUGAUGGAAUCUUAACUUUUGCAGCUAAAG